GCUCCAAUAGCGUAUAUUAAAGUUGUUGCAGUUAAAAAGCUCGUAGUUGGAUUUGUGGUGUGACUUGCCGGUCUGAUGGCUUUACUGUUCGUUGGUUACUGUGCGGGUCUGCCUUUUUUGGGUGGAAGCUGUGUGGCAUUAGGUUGUCGUGCAGGGGAUGCCAUCGUUUACUGUGAAAAAAUUAGAGUGUUCAAAGCAGG
rnacentral:rRNA from 1 species